UACGUAGGGGGCGAGCGUUGUCCGGAGUUACUGGGCGUAAAGGGCACGCAGGCGGUGCGGUGCGUUUCGCGUGACAGCGGAGGGCUUAACUCUCCGAGGAUGCGAAAGACGGCGGCACUUGAGGGCCAGAGAGGGACACGGAAUUCCGGGUGGAGUGGUGAAAUGCGUAGAGAUCCGGAGGAACACCGAAGGCGAAGGCAGUGUCCUGGCUGGUGACUGACGCUGAGGUGCGAAAGCUAGGGGAGCGAACGGG
rnacentral:rRNA from 1 species